AGAGUUUGAUCAUGGCUCAGAUUGAACGCUGGCGGCAGGCCUAACACAUGCAAGUCGAACGGUAACAGGAAGCAGCUUGCUGCUUUGCUGACGAGUGGCGGACGGGUGAGUAAUGUCUGGGAAACUGCCUGAUGGAGGGGGAUAACUACUGGAAACGGUGGCUAAUACCGCAUAACGUCGCAAGACCAAAGAGGGGGACCUUCGGGCCUCUUGCCAUCAGAUGUGCCCAGAUGGGAUUAGCUUGUUGGUGAGGUAACGGCUCACCAAGGCGACGAUCCCUAGCUGGUCUGAGAGGAUGACCAGCCACACUGGAACUGAGACACGGUCCAGACUCCUACGGGAGGCAGCAGUGGGGAAUAUUGCACAAUGGGCGCAAGCCUGAUGCAGCCAUGCCGCGUGUAUGAAGAAGGCCUUCGGGUUGUAAAGUACUUUCAGCGGGGAGGAAGGUGUUGCGGUUAAUAACCGCAGCAAUUGACGUUACCCGCAGAAGAAGCACCGGCUAACUCCGUGCCAGCAGCCGCGGUAAUACGGAGGGUGCAAGCGUUAAUCGGAAUUACUGGGCGUAAAGCGCACGCAGGCGGUCUGUCAAGUCGGAUGUGAAAUCCCCGGGCUCAACCUGGGAACUGCAUUCGAAACUGGCAGGCUUGAGUCUUGUAGAGGGGGGUAGAAUUCCAGGUGUAGCGGUGAAAUGCGUAGAGAUCUGGAGGAAUACCGGUGGCGAAGGCGGCCCCCUGGACAAAGACUGACGCUCAGGUGCGAAAGCGUGGGGAGCAAACAGGAUUAGAUACCCUGGUAGUCCACGCCGUAAACGAUGUCUACUUGGAGGUUGUGCCCUUGAGGCGUGGCUUCCGGAGCUAACGCGUUAAGUAGACCGCCUGGGGAGUACGGCCGCAAGGUUAAAACUCAAAUGAAUUGACGGGGGCCCGCACAAGCGGUGGAGCAUGUGGUUUAAUUCGAUGCAACGCGAAGAACCUUACCUGGUCUUGACAUCCACAGAACUUUCCAGAGAUGGACUGGUGCCUUCGGGAACUGUGAGACAGGUGCUGCAUGGCUGUCGUCAGCUCGUGUUGUGAAAUGUUGGGUUAAGUCCCGCAACGAGCGCAACCCUUAUCCUUUGUUGCCAGCGGUCCGGCCGGGAACUCAAAGGAGACUGCCAGUGAUAAACUGGAGGAAGGUGGGGAUGACGUCAAGUCAUCAUGGCCCUUACGACCAGGGCUACACACGUGCUACAAUGGCGCAUACAAAGAGAAGCGACCUCGCGAGAGCAAGCGGACCUCAUAAAGUGCGUCGUAGUCCGGAUUGGAGUCUGCAACUCGACUCCAUGAAGUCGGAAUCGCUAGUAAUCGUGGAUCAGAAUGCCACGGUGAAUACGUUCCCGGGCCUUGUACACACCGCCCGUCACACCAUGGGAGUGGGUUGCAAAAGAAGUAGGUAGCUUAACCUUCGGGAGGGCGCUUACCACUUUGUGAUUCAUGACUGGGGUGAAGUCGUAACAAGGUAACCGUAGGGGAACCUGCGGUUGGAUCACCU
rnacentral:rRNA from 1 species